AGAGAGAGAGAGAGAGAGAGAGAGAGAGAGAGAGAGGAAUAUAUACAUCAAAUUAGGAGAAAACAUCAAAACUCUAUAAUGCAGAAAAAAAAUAGAUAAAUAACAAAAGAUAGAAGAGCAGAAUGAUGAUAAUGAGAAACAAAACUGUCCGAAAGAAAGCAACACUGAAGACACAACACGAGAAAAGACGUAGUAGAAGACUUAGGAGGAGAGAAGAGAGAGAGAGAGAGAAGAGAGAAGAGAGAGGAGAGUUGUAGGUCGCCCACUUUCCCGUCCGAAGCUUCCUCUGUACUGGCUGGCUGUUGGCUGACUGGCUGGCUGGCUGGGUGGCUGGUGGCUGGUGGCUGGCUGACCGGCCCCGCCUGACUGACUGAGAGUGUAGCGGCCUCAGUCUAGCUCUGUUCUGCGCCCAAUACACCAACACCUCCGCCUCAGUGCUCAAGACUUGAGUGACGCGAGGAAGACAGAUAGAGAUGAAUGAAUAAGAGAUGUUAAAAGGAAGGAAGUGAAGUGAAGCGAAGGAGGAAAAGAAAAGGAAAGAAAAAUUGAAUAGUGAAAGU